ensembl:lincRNA Gm26742 predicted gene, 26742
AAAGUACAUUUACUUAUUUAUAGGUGCAUCUGCCCUUGGGCAUGGGUGUGUGCCCCUGCCAUAGGGCACAUAAAGAGGGUCAGAGAGAACAAAUGACAAGAGUUGGUUCUCUCUUUCUUGAGUGUGGGAUCUAAGGAACACACUUGGGUCCUUAGGUUUGUUGUCCAGUGCCUACACCCUUUGGGCCAGCUCAAAACCUUGGCUUGUUGUUCUUACUUGUUUGUUUUGUGUUUUAAGAAUAGAGCUCACACCACACAAGACUACCAAUCCAACAUCUAUACAUGCAAUUACAUCAUUUAAACUCUCAGACCUUUAUAAAAGACCCCUUACCAGGUUCUAAUAUGAUCUUUACAUUACUUAGUCUCUGACUACCAAAGGCAUUACAUUUCACCUGUUCCCUAUCCCUACCAUAUUCAAUGGCCCAGAAUCAGACAUGUAUAAUCAUUGUAUAAUCGCUGGUAACAAUCCUAGCAAAGAAAUGAUAUUCCACUGUGAAGUUGCAGCCAAGGGUAGCCCAAUGUUUCCUUAGUUCUGGCUUCUACAUAACAGAAGAACGCUCUCCAGGUGACUUAGAAAUAAACUGUUUAGGAUCCAAGCUACACCCUUGAUGUUCAGAUCGCUGGCAAGCUGAGAGCACUGGCAAUCAAAACUAUGUUGUGUUACAGUAAUUACUAUGACAAACUUCCCAAUGCUUAAUAGUAAAGAAUGGGAGAGUGUGAUCCCUCCACCUCUAGAGUGUGUUCAACGUGGCAAUUAUCUUCGUUCAAGCAGCAGCGUUUAAAUUGCAUUGAAACUCAAUUAUACCCAUGACUUUUUAAAACCUACACUUCAAAAGGCAGGUUUCACCACACUCAAAUCACUGAGCAAAAUCUCUUUCCCAGCUUAUAAAAAAGGAGAUUUUUAUCCCCCUCCCACGAGACAUCUUCAAAUACAAAACUGACUUCCCUGGAGCUUUGGAUCCACUUUUCUUUCUUUCUUUCUUUCUUUCUUUUUUCUUUUUGGCCUGGUGAAUGCAGAAGGAAGGCUGAGCAAUGUUGACAGAAAAAGAGGGUGCUAUCAUGCCAGGGAGUUGUCAUCUCUGAGAGACAAGGAUGGAUGGGAUUAUGAAGUCAUUUUGGGGGUGGGGGUGGGGCAGUGUUUAAGGACCAAUGUUUAAGAUCCCAAGCCAACCCCUCAGCUUGGCAAGAGUGGCUAACACUGAAGGUUCCAGGCCCCUGAAACCAUCCUAAAAUGAUUUCUGGGUCAACUCUGGUGGCUGAGGUUGGAGCAUGGCUUCCACACAGCAGGGCCGCGUCCUCUCUCUUCCCUGCCCCCACCUCCACCCCUGCUUCCGGGCAUGACUUGUUCGCUCUUCAUUUAUGGAAUUCAUAGGAUGCCAUUUAUACUGCUCUGCCUGAAGACGCAUUGCAUGCGUGCGAAUAAUUCAGCCACUCCAUUCUUCAGCCACUUCCCUCUGUGACUGGGGAGCCAAAGGAACACAAACUGGAGAGCCGACACCACGCACUAAUCUCAGUUGCCAUGACAGCAGCCUUUGAGAUCCUGAAAUGUUCCGAUCGCCAGCUAAACAAAAUUGUUGAAUGUGAACAUUUGGCUGGAAGAUUAAAAGGCUAAGGGGAAUGCAAAAGGCCAGAACCUCCCACAUUCCCAGCAGCCAGUGGAUCCAAUCAAAUAGCUCUGACUCCUUAACCACAGCAUUGUGAGCACUGGAUUAGGGCAAUUCAUCCAGAUAGUUAAAGCAGAUUAAAGCUGCAAUUUGAAGACUAUUGGCAACAAAAGUAAAUGUCCCACUGUACUAAGUAAUAAGAAGAUUUCAAACUGUCUUUUAGUAGAAAUUAUGUGAAACCACACAUUUAAAGUAAGAAGCAAAGCCUGAGAUUUUUUUAAAUUGAUCUAAAUUCAUCAAUGUAAAAGGCUAAGAGGAUUUGGAUUCCAAAAGCAAUCAGUAGCCUUUUGCAAGUUUGACGGUAUUGUCUAUGCCUCUCUCUGCCUCCAUCAGUGUUUACAAUCAGAACUUUAUUCCUAUGUCCAUUCCAACUUUAACUCUGAGCACCUGAAGUUGAAAAUAAAGGGAAUCAGAGAACUUUGUGUUAUUUCAUGCAGGAGUAAUCCCCAGGAGACUUCUUCGCAUCAUUACAGCCAGAAAGGGGAAACAUAAUCGUACCACAAUAAUAAGCAUAGUUAGAAGAAAUCACGUUACUACAACCACUUGAUAGAAACACUACAUCUUCAUGCUACAACUUGUGGAAUGAGUCUAAAGAUUAAUUUCACAGAAACACCACUCUCACCUCCCAACCAAUGAGCCUGGAGGACACAUAGCCGCCAGUUCCCAAACAUUACCCCAAAGCAACUGCAUCUCAGACAAGCAAACCCCAGGCCUCCAUGCCUAAUCAAGGUAACACUGGAGCAGGGGGUUUCCAGCACAGUGUCUAACCACAGACUUUAAGACAAUGAACAACAAGAGUGCAGGGGUCCAAAUGGCUCACGUCAGGCAUUGUUAAACCACAGUUGGCUUCCCUGCUGCCCCAAUGGCCCCCUUGGUCGGAUCCUCACAUUUCAAGAACACAAGCCAAAUGUGCUUUCCGAGUCUUACUUACUAAUCUCCCAGCUGCCCAGGCAAGCUAAAGACCGAAGUGAUAACAGUCUCACGGCUCUAGCUGCAGUGGGUGAGAGAGCAAAGUAGAGAGCGUCUCCACAGUCACCCAAAACUGGCACAGUUUGACUGCAUAGUUACAAAGUCAGUGAUCAAUACUCCCAGCCUGGAGUACAUCCUUUGACGGAACUAUUUGGGGGAAAGUAACAGAACAAUGAGUGUCAAUAACACUACACACUCCCUUUCCACAGAGGGAACUAGAACCCUGUUCCUAAAGACACACGGUUAACAAUAACACAGACGACAAUUCUCUUUAGGGAAGAAACCAGGACGAAACUCAAGCUAGUGCCGCAGCAGGUUUUCUGGUCAAAGCACACACGGACAAUUUGCUGGCUGCCCAGUCGCUCUUACAAGAAGGCAAAAGGCACUUGGACCAUUCAGAGCCUCCCACCCUAUGACCUUUCAAACGCUAGCACCACCAGCAGAAGCAAGCAGCAGAAGCAAGAGCCAAAAUCUGCACUCGGGAUAGCAUCCAUAAAGGAUGAACGUCAUAGAAAUCUCACGGAGAACCCGAAAGCACUAGGAAGUGUAAGACACCUGGAGGCACAUCCCACAACCCCAAACAAAUGCACACAGAGUGGGGGGCACACAAGAAGGCGAUCGUAUCCUACCUUCUCAGUUUUCAGUUUCUUGAUUCGCCUGUGGCUCUCCUCCUCCUCCUCUUCCUUCUUGACCAGCAUAGAGUUUCCC